rnacentral:rRNA from 1 species
AUACAUGAGCAAAAUCUCAACUUUAUUAGAAGAGACGCAUUUAUUAGAUAAAAAGCCAAUGCAUGCUUUUACAGUAUGAAAAUUGGUGAUUUAUAAUAACUUAGCAAAUCGCAUAGUGAAAACAGGCGAUAAAUCAUUCAAGUUUCUGACCUAUCAGCUUUCGACGGUAUGGUAUUGGCUUACCGUGGCAGUGACGGUUAACGGGGGAUUAGGGUUCGAUUCCGGAGAGGGAGCCUGAGAAACGGCUACCACAUCUAAGGAAGGCAGCAGGCGCGCAAAUUACCCAAUUCUAACAGUUUGAGAGAGGUAGUAACAAGAAAUAACAAUACAAGGCAGUUAAAAUGCUUUGUAAUUGGAAUGAUAGAAAUUUAAACCCUUUUUAAAGUAUCAAUUGGAGGGCAAGUCUGGUGCCAGCAGCCGCGGUAAUUCCAGCUCCAAUAGCGUAUAUUAAAAUUGUUGCAGUUAAAAAGCUCGUAGUUGAAGUUCUGCUAAAAGUAACCGGUCUGCUUUGAAUAAAAGUGGUAUCUUGGUAUGUAUUUAGCAAUGAUGUCCUUUGAAGUGUUUUUUACUUUAUUGUAAUAAAGCAUAUUCAGGACUUUUACUUUGAGAAAAUUAGAGUG